AGCGAACGUUUGCGGCGGGCUUAACACAUGCAAGUCGAACGGGCUGUUCCUUCGGGGGCAGUCAGUGGCGCACGGGUGCGUAACACGUAGGUAAUCAACCCUCUGGUUGGGGAUAACACUUCGAAAGGAGUGCUAAUACCCGGUAUGGCGCAGCGGUCUUCGGAUCGCGGCGAGAAAGACCCGCAAGGGUUGCCAGAGGACGAGCCUGCGGCCCAUCAGCUAGUUGGCGAGGUAACGGCUCACCAAGGCGAAGACGGGUAGCUGGUCUGAGAGGAUGAUCAGCCACACUGGAACUGAGACACGGUCCAGACUCCUACGGGAGGCAGCAGUGGGAAUAUUGCGCAAUGGGCGAAAGCCUGACGCAGCCACGCCGCGUGAGCGAUGAAGGCCUCGGUC
rnacentral:rRNA from 1 species